rnacentral:rRNA from 1 species
GUGAAUCAUCGAGUCUUUGAACGCACCUUGCACCCUCUGGUAUUCCGGAGGGUAUGCCUGUCUGAGUGUCCGAACACGAUCGGUCCCCGGGGGUCACCCCGAGGGGUCGGAAUUGGGCGUCGCCUUGCACCAGGCCCGCCUCAAAGUCAUCGGCCGGCGGAAGGCCCCGGUCCUGCGUGAUACGUUUCGCCCGACCGGGGGUCUGGAUGCCUCCUCGAACCCGCCACGCCUUCCGCGUGGAUCUGAACGAGUUACCUCAGAUCAGGUAGGACUACCCGCCGAACUUAAGCAUAUCAAUAAGCGGAGG